UUCAUGGCUUCGAAAAGACAGGCCGAGAAUUGAACCGAGGAGGCAAUUUGUUCCAUUUGCCUGGAUUUCUUCACCGAUCCGGUCAAACUGGAGUGUGGACGCAACUUCAGUCGCCGUUGUCUCACACGGUGCUGGGAAAGGAAGGAGAGAAACUCCUGCUCGGAAUGUAGAGAGUUGAUUGCUGACCACACCCUCAACGUCAAUCGGGCCUUAGCAAAUCUUUCCGAAAAAGCUCGAAAUCUGAACAUGAAUCGGAAAGGAACGGAAAGUAAACGUCACUGCGUGGAACAUGAGGAAGAACUGAAGUUGUUUUGUGAAACGGACAAGACACUAAUCUGUGUGAUCUGUGCAGUCGCGCAGCAAAACUGAGAGUACCGCUUCAUGACAAUUAAAGAAGCUGUUAAAAUCUACACGGAGGAAGCUCGACGGAACAGGAGGUAUGACAGGCUCUUUGCAGAAACCCUGGAUAGAUUCGUAAAAUAGUUUAAAAUUCCAGUUUAUAACCAGCAAUAUUUACAGAAUUAAUGAUGAUGUUCAGGAAUUGACAGUGACAGAUGAAAUCCUACCGUUUGAAAAAUUCGAUCACUCCUAUUUGUAGAACACAGUGCUGAGAGAAACACUUGAUACCAUUAAUCGAGUCUCUGUCACCAUGGAUGUGGAAACGGCGAGUCCGUGUCUCCAGGUGUCUGAGGAUCGGAAGAGUGUGAGACGGCUCUGGACCCAAAGGGAUCUUCCUGACACCGGGAAGAGAUUCACAAGUCUGCCUUGUGUGCUGGGAUCGGAGGGAUUCACAUCACGGACAUUACUGGGAGGAGACAGCAGGAGUGGCCUGAUUUGAUGGACACGGUCAUUCAGAGUUGAUGGAUAGCUGAGACCCGUGAGUGGGGAUAAAAGACAGGUCUGAGAGACGCCCUUCAGACACACCAGUGGACACUGACUGAGAUUUGGGAACCCACUGAAAGGUGGGGGUUUCGGAGACCAAACCAGGAGAUCGGUCAGUAAAGCUCACAGUGUUUCAGCAGGGCCGGUGGGGACUUACGUGUGUGUCCACUCAUGGCAGAGUGACGAGUCCACCACAUAAGAACGGUCUAGCUGAAGCCCUGAGGGGUCAUAACUGGAUGGCCACAACGAUACGACGGAUUAAGAAAGCCACAAAAAGGUUUGCCUGCCGCAUCUGUUGCUGUUACAUCUCGCUCGCUCUCUCUCUCUCUCUCCAACGAUUUCAAUACAACAACCAUAACCACCUCAGCAUUUAUGAACUGAGCUCUAUACUUUCCUAUGACAAUUCAUUUACCCCUAGACGUCGAUAGAGCUUGUUCAUUAUUGAUUAUUAUUAUUCCUCCACUUUUAAGUUUAUUACUGCUAA